UACGGAGGGUGCAAGCGUUAUCCGGAUUCACUGGGUUUAAAGGGUGCGUAGGUGGAUUAGUAAGUCAGUGGUGAAAUCUCCGGGCUUAACCCGGAAACUGCCAUUGAUACUAUUAGUCUUGAAUACCGUGGAGGUCAGCGGAAUAUGUCAUGUAGCGGUGAAAUGCUUAGAUAUGACAUAGAACACCAAUUGCGAAGGCAGCUGACUACAGGGAUAUUGACACUGAGGCACGAAAGCGUGGGGAUCAAACAGG
rnacentral:rRNA from 1 species